UCCUUGUUAGCUCAGUCGGUAGAGCGUUCGACUUUUAUAUAGUGUCCCUCGGGGCAUUAAAGUUYAAAAGGGUAUCGAAAUGUCAGGGGUUCGAGCCCCCUAUGAGGAG
rnacentral:tRNA from 1 species